rnacentral:rRNA from 1 species
AGCAGCCGCGGUAAUUCCAGCUCCAAUAGCGUAUAUUAAAGUUGUUGCAGUUAAAAAGCUCGUAGUUGAAUUUCGGGGUUAGUAGGUUGGUCAUGCCUCUGGUAUGUACUGGUCUCACUGAUUCCUCCUUCCUGAUGAGCCGUAAUGCCAUUAAUUUGGUGUUGCGGGGAAUUUGGACUGUUACUUUGAAAAAAUUAGAGUGUUUAAAGCAAGCUAACGCUUGAAUACAUUAGCAUGGAAUAAUGAAAUAGGACGUUCGAUCCUAUUUUGUUGGUUUCUAGGAUUGACGUAAUGAUUAAUCGGGAUAGUUGGGGGCAUUAGUAUUCAAUUGUCAGAGGUGAAAUUCUUGGAUUUAUUGAAGACUAACUACUGCGAAAGCAUUUGCCAAGGAUGUUUUCAUUAAUCAAGAACGAAAGUUAGGGGAUCGAAGACGAUCAGAUACCGUCGUAGUCUUAACCAUAAACUAUGCCGACUAGGGAUCGGAUGAUGUUAAUUUUUUUAAUGACUCAUUCGGCGCCUU